rnacentral:rRNA from 1 species
AUUGAACGCUGGCGGCAGGCCUAACACAUGCAAGUCGAGCGGAGCGGCGGACGGGUGUGUAAUUCCUAGGAAUCUGCCUGGUAGUGGGGGAUAACGUCCGGAAACGGGCGCUAAUACCGCAUCCUAUCAGUUGAGCCUAGGUCGGAUUAGCUAGUUGGUGGGGUAAAGGUCUACUAAGGCGACGAUCCGUAACUGGUCUGAGUGGAUGAUCAGUCACACUAGAACUGAGACACGGUCCAGACUCCUACGAGAGGGAGCAGUGGGGAAUAUUGGACGAUGGGCGAAAGCCUAAUCCAGCCAUGCCGCGUGUGUGAAGAAGGUCUUCGGGUUGUAAAGCACAUUAAGUUGGGAGGCGUUACCAACAGAAUAAGCACCGGCUAACUUCGUGCCAGCAGCCGCGGUAAUUC